rnacentral:rRNA from 1 species
AGGAUGAACGCUGGCGGCGUGCCUAAGACAUGCAAGUCGAGUGGGUUUAGACCCACGGCGAACGGGUGAGUAAUACCUAGGAACUUUUCUCAAGUUGAGGAUAUCCUCCCGAAAGGGAGUGCAAUACUCAAUGUGGCAGCAAUGCUAAAGUCGCAAGACGCUUGAGGUGAGGCCUGGGCACCAUCAGCUAGUUGGUAAGGUAAUGGCUUACCAAGGCUUUGACGGUUAGCGGAUCUGAGAGGAUGACCCGCCACACUGGGACUGCGACACGGCCCAGACUCCUACGGGAGGCAGCAGUUUGGAAUUUGGUCAAUGGGGGAAACCCUGAACCAGCGACGCCGCGUGGACGAAGAAGGUUUUCGGAUUGUAAAGUCCUUUUAGCAGGGAACAAUUUUGAGCGUACCUGCAGAAUAAGAGGUUGCUAACUCUGUGCCAGCAGCCGC